UCAGUGCUGGGCAGCAGUUCAGCAGUGCAGGGCUGCAGGCUGACCCUCCCUCCCCGCGCACACAGGACUGCCUGCCGGCAGUGAGACUAAGCAUCCUUCUGGCUCCUGGAUACUAGACAAGCAGCCCAGCCAUUUACAUUUCUGUUUGACUUGAGUCUUGAAUGUCCAGAACCUCCUGCUCUUCAUUCAUUCCUUUGUCACUCUCUGAGCCUCCUUAACUCUCACUGCCUCAUUCACUCCCUCAUUUACUCCUGCGUUUGCUUACUCACUCCUUCAGUCACUCUUCAACAAGCAUUUAUGGAGCAGCUACUAUAUACUUUCGGUAGACUAGAUGUGGAAUCUAUCAAGGAGAAUAACAAAGUUGCAGGUCUUAAAAACUUACAGGUAACUCUUUGUGGAAUUUAAGCAGCAGUAGCAGGAGUCUCUCCCAACUGUGUCUCCGGCUAGAUCUUAGGCAAGUCACUCUCCCCCUCUGCAUCUCAGUUCUUUUAGUGGACACUGAAGUGUUGGAAAUGACAGCUGCAAACUCUCCUUACCUCCAGAGUGCUGGACUUCUAACUCAUGGUUCCACAGGGACAGACCACCCACGAGGAGAAAGGAUGUGGGAGAUGGAGAUGAAGGUGGACUCUGAAAACAGGAGAAGUUCAUCUUGAUCCUCAGGAGGCAGCCAGAUUCUUUCUGGAGGAAGGAUUACAUCCUCCAGAACACAAAGAAACUUUAGAAGGACACAGGUGGACUCCAGGAUCUUUUCUGAGAAGUGUCUCUAAGCUUUGCAGCUUCCCACCAGCACCCCGCACUCCCAGGACCCCGGGCAUCCCUGACUGCCGGAGAACUGACCGCAUAAAGGCUCAUCACUUUUUUUUCACAAGAACCCCAGGAAGCAAGUCCGUCCUGGAUCCUCGUGGUACACGUGUGGAGCUGAGGCUUACAAGGCCCAAGCACAUGCUGAGAUACAAUUUGAGAAGAAUUAAAUGGAGGCCAUUUCUUAUAUUUUUAUUAAAAACAAAGUAAACCUACUCAUACUUUGAUAAAUUUUGAACUCUCUCUCUCUUUUCCUUCUUACUCCCUCAU